GCUUUUUAAAUAUCACAUGUACUCAAAUUGGAACGAUACAGAGAAGAUUAGCAUGGCCGCUGUGCAAGGAUGACACGCAAGUUCGUGAAGCAUUCCAUGUUUUU